AACCAACCAAAAAAAACCCCCAAAAACCCAAUGGGAAUAUUGGGGAUGCGACAAAAAUUCCCAUUCCCAUUCCAUUCCAAAAAUUCCCAUGGAAAAGGGAAUUAUGCGAGUAAACAACCCCGCAAUAAUUACCGGUAAUUAAGAUUAUUACACAUGAGGGGAGGGCAAUUAAAACCUCGCGCCCAAAGGCUGCCUCAGCAUCCUGGAAGUUCGGGAGUUCUUAUAAAACUCCAAGGAUUUGGGGCUCCCCCGGACAUUCCCGGCGAUUCCUUCCUGGAAUAUCGGUUUUCCCUGGUUUCUCCCAGAUGUGCUCGGAAUUCCGAGAGCCGUGUCCGAGGCCGGCGGCCUCCGGCUCCGGCCGGCCCUGCGCCCUCUCCUGCGGCGCUUCCCGCGUCAUCAUCUUCCCUCCUCCGGUGCUCCUCACCUUCCCGGCGCCCGUCCUCAGCACCUGCCCGCAGGAGACCGUGCUGGGAUCCUCGGGAAUGGCACUGGGAUCAUCGGGAAUGGUGCCAGGAUCAUCGGGAAUGGCGCCGGGAUCAUCGGGAACGGCGCCGGGAUCAUCGGGAAUGGCGCCGGGAUCAUCGGGAAUGGCAAUGGGAUCAUCGGGAAUGGUGCCAGGAUCAUUGGGAAUGGCGCCGGGAUCACUGGGAAUGUCAAUGGGAUCAUCGGGAAUGGCGCCGGGGUCAUCGGGAAUGGCAUUGGGAUCUAUGGGAAUGGUGCCGGGAUCAUCGGGAAUGGCAUUGGGAUCCGCGGGAACGGCGCUGGGAUCCUCGGGAACCUCCCUGAGCUCCCACGGAGCACCAAUCCCGCAUUCCGGGGGUUUCGUCCCAAAAUUGGGCCCCCGGCGAGCGUCGCGCUGCUCCUACAUUUUUCGUUCCCGCUGGAUCCAUCCCUGCCGGAGAAGCGGCUGCGGGAGCCGGCAGCCGGCCGGGAACGAGAGCCAGGAGGAAAUUCCAGGUGCGGAAAAGCCAGAAACGGAAAACGCGGAUGCAGCAAAGGAGGAAGAAGAGGUCUUGGAAGUGUGACGCGAAUCCGACCCCAAUCCAAAGGCUCUGCAGGCCCCUCCAAAGCAGAUUUGGGAAUUUAAGUUCAGCUUAAAUUGGGUUUUUUUUUUAAUGUUGGGGAUUUUUAAAUUGGGUUUUUUCUCCCCUCAGACAUUCCCAAGCGGUGGAAUAAAGCCAUAAAAUAACAAUUUCA
rnacentral:lncRNA from 1 species